rnacentral:lncRNA from 1 species
UUUUUUUUUUUUUUUUUGGUUUCUUGAGACGACAGGGUUUCUCUGUGUAGCCCUGGCAUAACAACUAUUUUUAACUAAUUUAUUUUGUGACAUAAUUCACUAAUUACUACUAUAGUACUUAGAGUGCAUAGAAAUAAUUUUAGAAACAGUUGUUGCUUAGUUCUGUUGCCUGUAUGUUAUAGGGUCAUAAAUAUUGUCACGUAGCAGUGAGUUCUAUAAUUAUUAUAUCAUGCUUUGCCUUGCUUCACAGUAAUCAAAAUGACUUUUAUUGUGAAAGGUUAUUUCAUUCCACUGUCUUCUGAAUCAGUCAAUCUCAAUCUCUCUCUCUCCCCCCCCUCUCUCUCUCUCUCUCUCUCUCUCUCUCUCUCUCUCUCUCGCUUGCUCGCUCAAUCCCUCUCCCACUCUUCCUCUCCCUCUCUCUCUGUGUCUCUCCCCCCACUUUGGGAUUAGAUUCAUUUCAUUGUAUAAGUAAUUCUAGUAUGUUGGGGUUUUUAUUCACUAUUUGAUAUAUUUGUUUUAAUAUAUGUUCUUAUUUUAGCAGGUAAAAGAAUCAUAACUUGUUUUUUUAAAGAACAUUAAUAUUCUCUAAUCCGAUAUCUGUCUUUUAUGCAUUUUGCAUGUCACCUUUUUUCUUUAACAUCUGGGGUCUUUUAUAAGAAAGAGAAAAAAACCCUGUCUUUAACAAGAGCUUUUCUAGGAGCUGAAUUAACUGUUGACUCCCCACCCCGUGAGAAUGGUGAAUCUGUAACUUUGGCUGCAUCCUUGAAAGCUGAUCGUUACUCGUAGUCUAACAAAACUAGUGCCACCAAACUUGGCAGCAGAAAUAAUUUUAGUCUUGCUGCAAAGCUACCUGGAUCACAUGAUUAUUUUUCCAGCUUCAGUUUAGAGUGUCUUGUGGAAAUAUUUGAUGCCAUCUAUGACUUUCAAACAUUCUCGUGUUUAAAAGCUCUGAAUGAGUUCAUGAACUCAUUUUUCACCAUAGUGGUCUUUUACUAGACAUUUUUGCAGCAACAAAAGUUGAUUAUAAAAAGUAAAGGAUUAAGAGUAUAGUUCAGCCCUAAGAAGGGAAUAUAAAACUGGGUUGGGAGAAUAUGAACCUAUCUACUCUGUAUAAGUUCUUCAAAUUUUACUUAAUAAUCAGUUUAUGUAAACGGUACUUAAAAAUUAAUGGUAGGGCUACUUGUGGUGGUGAACCCUUUUAAUUCCAACACUCAGAAUGCAGAGGCCGCUGUGAGGUUCAGGCCAACCUGGUCUACAUAGUGAGUUCCAGGCUACAUAGUAAGACCAUCUCAACAAAACAAAACCAGUUGGUGGUAGGACCAUCGCUUGUUAUGGCUCCCUUCUCCUGAGAGUUGAUAAUUAUAUGGCUAUAUCAAUGCAAGAGUCUUUGCUUUAAAAGAAUAGUUAAACAAAACCCUGUUUCUUGUUCCAUUUGUGACCCAUGAACAUGGUUUGGUUCUCAUUUUUCCUCUGUGCCCCAGUGUAAACAUUAGCUUUACUUAGUCUCCCCUGGAGUAGGUCCUGCUCUUUAUCCCUGUGUGUUGUAGAAUUGAUGAGCGGGUUAUAUGCAGACUGAUGCUAGUAGAUGGGGACCCCUGUAAUGAAGCUUCCUUCCUGACUUAAAGGGCAUGCUGAGACUGUGGAUGUGUGCUCGUGACUUAAUUUUAUGGGUUGUUUUUGUUGUGUUCUGUUAGGUUUGCAGUGCCGGGGCAUCAGACUCAGCCUUACACACAGUGGGAAGUGUGCUUUGCCCACAAGUUGGUUGCUUGCUUUGAUCUGGAAUCUCACUGUGAAGGCCAGGCUGACCCGACAGCUUCUCAGGCUCCUGUUUUAUUUUUAUUUAGGAGGCAAGUUUUUACUAUGAUAUCAAGGCUGACCCUGACCUCCUGGGCUCAGGAGGCCCUGUCUCAGCCUCCUAAGGAGAUAGGAUGAUGGGCACGUGCCACCACAAUGACUACCAUUGAUUUUAAGUAGCAAAAUGUAUGUAGAACUAACCUUUUAUUUGUUAUUAUGAAUUUUAAAUGCAACAUCAUGCCCAGCUAGUAUGUUCUAAUCUUUUUCUCUGCUGCCAAAUUUGGAUAAUCUCUGUUGGAAAAAUAGAGAUUCCUAAAUUGAGUAGUUGUCCUGCAUGAAUACAGGCUCUGAGUUUUUCUCUUCCCUUGGAUUCUUAGGUCGUGCAGUGUGUUUCCCUGCAUUUUCACGCACCUUUCCUUUCCCCUGUCACUCCUGGUAUGGAUAACUCUAUAAAACUUAUCCCCACCCUUCUCCCAUCUUUCCUUCUCUUUUACUUCUAUAUGUCUUAAUUGAUGUGAAACCCGGGACAUUUAGCCUAUGUAAUAAUAGCACUCGACUUGUCCCCUGUUCCUCCAGGAAAGGAAGUUCUUCAAAGGCUUCUUUGGAAAAGUAAGUUUAAUGCCAUGAUUGUGCUUGUUCAUAUAAGGAGUUACACCCGGUACAGCACUGACUUGCUAAAAGAAUAAAACCUUGAUUUCUUUGCAAAACAGAAAUAGAUCUGGCUAUAUAUAAAAAUUAAUGAAUUAGUUGCUGUCUAUGAUAUUACCUGGGUUUUUUGUUUUGUUUUGUUUUGUUUUUUGUUUGGUUUUGGGUUUUGAAUUUUUUUUGUUGUUUGUUUGUUUUUUGUUUUUUAUACUAACUCUCAUUUCUGGGAAAACCCAAUAAAUGAAUCAAGUAAGUUACUUUAAUGAUCUCUUUAACAUCUGCUAUUAGGUAAAUGCUAUGUGAUCUUUCAAAACAGUUCUGUUAGUGCAUUAUCUAUAUUUUUAACAGGUAGAUUUUAAUUAGGGCCCAAAACUGACAGAAAUAGAAAGAAAAUUAGAUCCAGGUAAAAAUUUAAGGGACCCCAAAAUUUACAUUUAAUAUUAUUUUUCUAAUCUAAGUUAAAUUUCAAGGGAAUAAAUUGUGAAAGUACAUAAACUUACUUUUGAAGAUUCUGCUGUGACCUUUAACCUGUAUUGCUGAUCCAGGAAAAUCUGUUGUAAUUAAUAGUCUACCAAAAUCUGCUGCAUGGAUGCUCUUUUUAUAGGUGCCCUUACCCUUUCCUAGUGACACUUGUUCACUGCUCAGAUCCUCACGAGUACCAGGGCCGGAAUGUCCCCUAGAGACAGAGUGUGCCCAGCAUUAGCAUGCGUGAGGCCCUCUGUUCUGUCUCCCAACACUGGAACAAAAUAAGAGGCUGGAGAAAUUGCCCAGUGUUAAAGUGCUUGCUGGUCUUAGAGUGGACCUGAGUGUAGUUCCUAGCACCCACGUGGGUAGCUCACAACCAGUGUCACGGGCCAACCUAAUCUCAGAUCCUAACUGCCACAAUGCUAAAGUUAUAUGACAUAUGAAAAACUUAUGAAUCACUUUAAUCUUUGAAUAACAUUUAUAUAGUGAGGAAGCUGAGUUCAGAUGGCUUCUUUAAUUCCAAAUCCACUAAGUGGAGCUUGGAUUUGAACCUUGAUAAUCUGUCUCCAGAGUCCGUACCCUUAAACACUGUGCUAUACAGUCACUUUUGUUUUUCAGUUUUGCUUUUGCAGUGCUGGGGGUUACACAUGCCAGGCCAGUGCUCCUGUGAACUGUAUCCUCAGCCUUUUGUUAUUUUCUAUUUUGAGGCAUGAUCUUAUUAAUUUGCUGGCCUGGAUUUAGUGAUGUUCCUCCUACCUCAGCUUCAUAAAUAACUGUGCUUCCAGGCUUCAGUUCUCCUGGAUCGGGAGAGGGGCAAGGGGGCUGUUAUUUGGGGGGGUUGAGACAGGGUCUCCUAUAUCCUAGGAUGGCCUAGAACUUGCUUUUUAGCUAAAGAGCACCUAAACCUCUAAUUCUCCUGCCUCUGAAAGUGCUUGAGUUACCAAAGGGAGCAUCCCUUCAUCUAGUGCCACAAAGACUCACGCACGCACGCACGCACGCACAUUAGGCAAGCACUCCACCUGUUGAGCUACAUCCCUAGCCAUUCAACUUUCAUUUUAAAGAGUAAUAGUUGUCUUUGAAUUUUAUUUCUAGUAAAUUACUUUUUCGUUAUAGCUUUUCAAGAACUAUUUUUUUUCCCAGUAGUUUAAACUAGCUCAUGGAACCCAGGGCCUAGAGCAUGAUAGGCAAGCACUGUCACUAAGCUUGAGCUAUCCUCUCUGUGCCUCUCCCUUCCCCUCUCUCUGUCUGAGACAGCAUCUUGUUAGUCAGGCAGUCCUUAAAUACCUGAGAGUCUGGUCUUCCACUCAUGAUGUUCUUGGUUUCUGCACAUCACCAUGGCUGACCCUAACACUUCAUUUUUAUUUAUUUGUUUGCUUAUUGAUAAUGGGUCUCUCUUACGUAGUUCUGGCUGCCCUGGAAUUUGCUAUGUAGUUCAAGCUGGUCUUAAAGUAGCAGAUCCACCUGCUGCUGCCUCCUGAGUUCUGGAAUUAAAGACUCACACUCAGCUUAUUUGGAGAUCUUUUUAAUAGUGACCAGGUGUUGUGCACACCUGUAAUUCUAGCACUUGAGACACUGGGGCAGGAGAAUUGCCAUAAGUUUUAAGUCCAGCCUGGGCCAUGUAGUUAAGUUCUGGACUAGCUAAUACUACAACAGCAAGGCACAGCUUCAAAAAAUAAAACAAAUGAGUUAGUCAGUCCUACUAGUGACUUUUACUCCCACAAUAUUGUCUUAAAAACACUAAGCAAUCUUAACUUGAUGACCAUGAACAUAUAUGACAAUAUGAAUUAUUUUCAUGGGCUAGAGAGAUGGCUCAACAGUUAAGAGCGCUUGUACUUUCAAGGAACUUGGCUCACUUCCCCGCACCCAAAUCAUAGCUUAUAACUGUCUGUAACUCCAGUCCCACAGGGUCUGACACCCUGUAAUGGCCUCUGUAGAUACUGUCAUAUGACACACAGACAUACAUGUAGCAAAACACUCUAUGUGCAUUAAAUAAAAAUAAAACUUCCAAGUUUUUUAGUGUUUUUUGAGGCCAUCCUGGCCUACAUGGCAAGUUCGAGGACAGCCAAAGGUACAUACUAGACUCUGCCUCUAAAUAAAUAAAGAAACCAUGUUUAUGUUAUGGGGAGGGCCCUUUUUAUAGCAGAACAAUUUUGUUAUAUAAUUUAUAAAAUUACAGUAAGCUCAGUUUUAUUCAAAAAG